GAUGAACGCUGGCGGCGUGCCUAAUACAUGCAAGUCGAGCGGACAGACGAGGAGCUUGCUUCUCUGACGUUAGCGGCGGACGGGUGAGUAACACGUGGAUAACCUACCUAUAAGACUGGGAUAACUUCGGGAAACCGGAGCUAAUACCGGAUAAUAUAUUGAACCGCAUGGUUCAAUAGUGAAAGACGGUUUUGCUGUCACUUAUAGAUGGAUCCGCGCCGCAUUAGCUAGUUGGUAAGGUAACGGCUUACCAAGGCAACGAUGCGUAGCCGACCUGAGAGGGUGAUCGGCCACACUGGAACUGAGACACGGUCCAGACUCCUACGGGAGGCAGCAGUAGGGAAUCUUCCGCAAUGGGCGAAAGCCUGACGGAGCAACGCCGCGUGAGUGAUGAAGGUCUUCGGAUCGUAAAACUCUGUUAUUAGGGAAGAACAAAUGUGUAAGUAACUAUGCACGUCUUGACGGUACCUAAUCAGAAAGCCACGGCUAACUACGUG
rnacentral:rRNA from 1 species